CAGAGCAGGGUGGAAGGGCUGAUUUCUCUCCUGAUUGCAGACAGAGGUGCGGCAGCAGCUGAGCGCCUUCCCCUGGCAUGGCACCACGCUCUGCCAGAGGUCUUUCUGCGAGGUGGCCGCUGGCGAGGUGCGUGCAGGCUCCCAGGUGCCAGACCCCCUUGCUGGGAGCUGUCGGUGCCCCUCAACUGGAGGAUGGCACGGGGAUCUUCUCACUUCCCAAAACCUUGGGGGCUGUUUCGUUUCAGAAGCUCUCCAGCCAGGAGCUCAGCCCUGAGCCCUUGCAGGAGCCAUCCCAUGAGGCCCCAUGCAAGCUGAGCUGGCUCAUGGAGCAGCAUGAAGUCGUCAGCCACUGUGAGAGCCAACUCCAGCAGUACUGUGAGCACCAACACCCCCACCAUGCAGAGCCACCAUGUUGGGUUGUGCCACCGAACCUUUGCCAGGACUGGUGGAUGGCAGGGCCACGCUCAGCCAUCCCAUCCAAGUCCCCAAGCUGCUGCAGCCCCCCUCAUCCCUCUGCUUUGCUCCCAGCCAUGCUGGCAUGACUUGGGGUGUGGUGACUGUCAUUUGUGGCACCCCUGGGUGCCCUGGUGCUGGCCGUGCAAGGGGACUGGGGGGGCUCUGCAGCCAUAAAGCCACCAGGGUUUGGGAUGUCACCAUGCUGGGGGCCUGCAGGAGCUGGAGCAAAGCUUUGGUGUCUAUUUUCAGCCGACUUGGGGACCUUGGAGGACACGGCUGCCCAACUGGAGAAGGUGCCAAGCGAGACCAGGCACCUGCAGGAUGAAGGAGCGAAGGGGCUGGAUUUCGGCAGGGAGGUGCUGGACCAGGUGGGACAGCUGAAGGAGCAGUGCGCGAGGCUGCAGGAAGCUGCGGAGCGGCUGUGGGGUGACAUCGGGGACACCCAGGUGAGCACAGCCCUGGGAUCAGCUCAGGAGCCGCUUGAGCCGUGGUUGGCAUCUGAACCAGGCUGGGUAGAGGCUUGCCCAGACUUGGUGUGUCCCCACCAUGUCCCCCCCCAGAAAGCCGACAAAGCUGCGCUGGAGACCAAAUUGAGCCAGGAUGAGCUGCAACAUGCCAUGGUCCAGCUGAGCCAGAUGAUGCAGAACCUGCUGCAGAGGAUGUCCCUGCUGGACCAGGACAGGCAGAAAGACCUAGAGAAGCUCCUCAGCGAGAUGGACUCCAAGCUGGACUGCGCGGCCCUGGCUCCCCUGCAGGCAAAGCUGGAGCAGAUCUGGAGGCUCACCCAACGGUGCCUCUGCAAGGGACGCUGCUGUGGUGCCAACCGGGCUGCUGGGUUCAAGAGGUGGGAGCUGCUGGAUCCCAUCUUGUCCCCUUCUGUCCUCUCCUGUGCUGCCCCAUCCCCUCCCAUGCUGUCCCAUCC
rnacentral:lncRNA from 1 species